CCUUGCUGCAGCACUGCCAUUUGUUGAGAAGCUCAGCUGUCCCCUCUCCAGGACACCGGGACUCUUACCAGAGACCAUACUCAGGGAGCGUCCAUGCAGCACCCCACCCCGCUGACAGGAGCGAUUGACUCUUCCACAGUGAAUGUAUCCAGAGCCUCUGUUGUCUUAGCUGUGCUUGAAAUGCAAAUUCCCAGGUGUCCUGUGUGCAAGCACAUUGGGAGGGUGCUGCAUGACCCCCCAGCUGCUUGCCAACCACCAGGGCACUGACUGUGAAGGCCAGGCAGUGUUACAGUGCCGCAGGUGCUGUGUCUCCCCAUGCACACUGAACUCUGCCCUCAGUGCAGGGGCUGGGGGGUCUGAACAGAACAGCGUCGCUUCUCUGAGACAGAGUGGCCAGCGGGCUGUCCUUCACCGUGCAUGCAGUCCACAGCCAGCACAGGCCCCACCAGGCCCAGCCAGGCUGCCCGACCUCAGGCCUAGCCUCUUCCGUCCGAGCUCUGACAGGCCUGCCCCAGGCGACUGGGUGAGCUGUCUCAGCCAGCAGCCCCGCUGCCUUAGCCGUGAUCUGUCCUUGCCGCAGUGGCCCAGUUGGUGGCCAGGGGACCGUUGGAAAAUGCUGGCUCACGGUGAUCGGAUGGCCCUGGGGACAGCAGGGCCAGCACCUACUUAGGCGCCUGGCAAUUCCAAGCUCUUCACUUUGAGAAAGGCCAGAAUCGGGCCUGUCGCUUCCUGUGUGGCCUCGAUACAUGCGGAAGCCUCAGUUUCCCCAGCAGCACCUCCCAGGAGCAUAAUGUGGUUUCAGUGGGAUCAAAUGCUUAGAAGUUCUCCGUAAGUUGCUUCACACACAGAAAACUAAGUACUGAGCACCCAUGUUUGAUUCACCCAAACAAUUUGUGAAAGUCUCCGCAGCCACCAGAGACUGAGCUACAGGAAGCAC
rnacentral:lncRNA from 1 species